CAGCCGUAAACUAUGCUCGCUAGGUGUCAGGCAUGGCGCGACCGUGUCUGGUGCCGCAGGGAAGCCGUGAAGCGAGCCACCUGGGAAGUACGGCCGCAAGGCUGAAACUUAAAGGAAUUGGCGGGGGAGCACAACAACGGGUGGAGCCUGCGGUUUAAUUGGACUCAACGCCGGACAACUCACCGGGGGACGACAGCAAUAUGUAGGCCAGGCUGAAGACCUUGCCUGAAUCGCUGAGAGGAGGUGCAUGGCGUAGACGUGU
rnacentral:rRNA from 1 species